rnacentral:tRNA from 1 species
AGUCCUGUAGCUCAGUGGUUAGAGCACUCGCCUCCCAAGCGAGAGGACCUGGGUUUGAUUCCCGGGCAGGACGA